UCCUAUUGACCAGUCACGACGCAUUGAUUACAACUCUCACUGUUCAAAUCUACUAUUCUAAACACAAGAAUCAAGCAAAAGCAGUGCUUGUCCAAGAACUAUCUCAUUUACUCAACCAUUAAAUCUUCAUGACAAAAAAAUCACCGACAAAAAUCGCUAGGACACCCUUAAAGUGUUUCUGAAGCGAAAAUAGUGUCAGGCUGUUCUUAGGCUUAUUAUAAAAUUCAAUCUUCGCUUAAUAUUAUAAAAGAAAAGUCAAAAUAAAAGAUUAUGAGGAACAUGACGCAAUUAUUCUUCAAAGAGAGGUAACAAGUGCGUCAAAAAUUACAUAAUACACCCCCCCCCGUGUUUCGUCACACGGUUGCUUACUACGCUGAAGGAGCCAUUUUGAAUCGAUCAUUGACCGAAAAGUUCACUAGUUUGCCCUACUAUUUGUUGCGUUUAUAUUCUUACAAUGUCUGAUUACAACAAAUAGUCUAGUAAAGAGUCAUAUAAAACUCUUCGGGAGGCAACAGGAGCGAAUUUGGAUCGAAAGGAGCAGUGCAUUCCCUUGGAGCUGAACGGGUGAGAGUCGUUUGCACGAUGCAGGGAGAAAUGAGUGGAUUAUAAAAUGAUCUGUUGGAUCUACCCUUAGAGAGGAUAAUCACGGCUUCCAGGUCAGUUUUUCAGAAGUCUAGAACUUGUGAUGCUGGGCUUCUGUUGAUGUGCACUUGAGGGCCCAUGAGAAAGAGUAUUAACAAACAUUCUUUAAUUUUGUAAGAAUCAUUGAGAGGCACAUUAAUGCUACAGGGUCUGUACUCGAUUUCAAUUCAACAUCAGCUUAGUUUAUGUAAGGGACUCAUCUUCAUUAGUUUUCAUCAAAUAAUACAGUAAAUACAGAGCAAAGAGACACUGGCCAAAUAUACAAGCUUUAGUGAUAUCGCUCUCAUUUAAUCAUCAUAAUCCUAUGGCCUCAGCCGAUAGGGCUCAAGAUGACCCCGAGGUCUUUUAUUGCACUUAGCAUGUCCAUUACAAACUCACCAUGAUUGUGCAUUGCAUAAAAUUAAAGGUUUACUCACUCAUUUCAAAUUUAAGUUGCCCAGAAAACUUAGAUUGGCUGUACAGCAUACAUACCCCUUUUCUUUAGCAUAGUCUUGUGCAAAAUUUUCUUGAUUGAGAAUAUCCACAAGUUUAUUGAUUCCAAUAUUUAUUCACCAUUUGGCAGUUUGGGAAGCAGUGACUCCAAUUUAUAGAAGGCUGCUUGUUUGAUACCAAGUCACAAAUGUGGCCAUGAAUAGUCACUAACUUUUGAGUGUCUAGCAAGGUGUAUGUGCAUUAGUCUGUUUUAUUUUCAAGCUGAUAACAGUCAAUUCAGGCUUUAUUUCAUUUAAUUUUUAAUUUUGUGACUGAAAAGUUCUUUCUUUGAUCCUCAACGUCUGCAUUUUGUCUUUGAUUAGCUAGAAAUACUAUUAUUUUUUCAAUUGGAUCACUGUUUUCAUUUCUUCCUCAUUUUUUUUUUUUACCAUUGCUGAUGACUCUACAUGGCGCUUAUGGGUAUUUGAAACUUAUCCCUUGGUUGCACUUCGUUAGCUUCUAACUUCAAUCUUGUGAAGGGGGGGCAAUGGCAAAAAUGGUUUUAUUAAAAAAAAACAUUCUACUGCUAA